UGUGCAUCCCACGGGCAGGCUUUGGGUUCCCAGCAUACGGUGGCUGUGGGGACAGUGCUGGCUGUACUGCUGCCCCCUCCCCACAUCCUGGGGAGCUCUGAGGGGAGGGAAGGGGGGGAUGGACGGAUGGACGGACGGAGGGACGGACACGGCUCCAGGAGUGUAGCAGUGACAGUGGGUGGGAGGAGAGGGGAACAUUGGGGAUGUGCUGCUGCUUUAAGGACCCCUCCAACCCAACCACCCUAUGGUUCUGUGGUCUAUAAGGUCUCUUCCAACCCAACCAUAAUGGGAUUCUAUAGUUCUGUGAUCUUCAAGGACCCUUCCAACCCAACCACUGUGAACUUAUAUAGCUCUGUGACCUUCAAGGACCCUUCCAACCCAACCAUUGUGGGAUUCUAUAGUUCUAUGAUCUUUAAGGACCCCUCCAACCCAACCACCCUAUGGUUCUGUGAUCUAUAAGGUCCCUUCCAACCCAACCGUUGUGCAUUUCUAUGGCCCUAUGAUCUUCAAGGACCCUUCCAACCCAACCACUAUGAUUUUAUAUAGUUCUAUGAUCGUCAGAGAUCCUCCCAACCCAACCAUCCUAUUGUUCCAUUGUCUAUAAGUUCCCUUCCAACCCAACCAUAAUGGGAUUCUAUAGUUCUGUGAUCUUUAAGGACCCUUCCAACCCAAACAUUGUGAACUUAUAUAGUUCUAUGAUC
ensembl:lncRNA